rnacentral:ncRNA from 1 species
UUUCCCUCAGAAUAGCUGGUGCUCUCGCAACAAGACAAAAGUCCAACGAAGUUUUAUCCAGUAAAGUGAAUGAUUAGAGGUCUUGGGGCUGAAAUGAUCUCAACCUAUUCUCAAACUUUAAAUGGGUAAGAAGCCUGGCUCGGAAUGUGAGUGUCUAGUGGGCCACUUUUGGUAAGCAGAAGAGCAGACUACUUA